rnacentral:rRNA from 1 species
CAUGAACGCUGGCGGCGUGCCUAAUACAUGCAAGUCGAGCGAACGGACGAGAAGCUUGCUUCUCUGAUGUUAGCGGCGGACGGGUGAGUAACACGUGGAUAACCUACCUAUAAGACUGGGAUAACUUCGGGAAACCGGAGCUAAUACCGGAUAAUAUUUUGAACCGCAUGGUUCAAAAGUGAAAGACGGUCUUGCUGUCACUUAUAGAUGGAUCCGCGCUGCAUUAGCUAGUUGGUAAGGUAACGGCUUACCAAGGCAACGAUGCAUAGCCGACCUGAGAGGGUGAUCGGCCACACUGGAACUGAGACACGGUCCAGACUCCUACGGGAGGCAGCAGUAGGGAAUCUUCCGCAAUGGGCGAAAGCCUGACGGAGCAACGCCGCGUGAGUGAUGAAGGUCUUCGGAUCGUAAAACUCUGUUAUUAGGGAAGAACAUAUGUGUAAGUAACUGUGCACAUCUUGACGGUACCUAAUCAGAAAGCCACGGCUAACUACGUG